rnacentral:rRNA from 1 species
AUACGUAGGUGGCAAGCGUUGUCCGGAAUUACUGGGUGUAAAGGGCGUGUAGGCGGAGCGGCAAGUCAGAAGUGAAAUCUCCGGGCUUAACCCGGAAACUGCUUUUGAAACUGUCGCCCUUGAGUAUCGGAGAGGCAGGAGGAAUUUCUUGAUGAGCGGUGAAAUGGGUAGAUAUUAGGAGGAAAACCAGUGGCGAAGGCGGCCUGCUGGACGACAACUGACGCUGAGGCGCGAAAGCGUGGGGAGCAAACAGGAUUAGAUACCCUGGUAGUCCACGCCGUAAACGAUGGAUACUAGGUGUGGGGGGACUGACCCCUUCCGUGCCGCAGUAAACACAAUAAGUAUCCCACCUGGGGAGUACGAUCGCAAGAUUGAAACUCAAAGGAAUUGACGGGG